AGGGGCAUAGCUCAGUGGUAGAGCACAUGCUUAGGUCCUGGGUUGAAACCCCAGUACCUCCA
rnacentral:tRNA from 1 species